GAGUUUGAUCUUGGCUCAGAUUGAACGCUAGGCGGCAGGCCUAACACACUGCAAGGUCGAGCGGAUGAAGGGAGCUUGCUCCUGGAUUCAGCGGCGGACGGGUGAGUAAUGCCUAGGAAUCUGCCUGGUAGUGGGGAUAACGUCCGGAAACGGGCGCUAAUACCGCAUACGUCCUGAGGGAGAAAGUGGGGGAUCUUCGGACCUCACGCUAUCAGACGAGCCUAGGUCGGAUUAGCUAGUUGGUGGGGUAAAGGCCUACCAAGGCGACGAUCCGUAACUGGUCUGAGAGGAUGAUCAGUCACACUGGAACUGAGACACGGUCCAGACUCCUACGGGAGGCAGCAGUGGGGAAUAUUGGACAAUGGGCGAAAGCCUGAUCCAGCCAUGCCGCGUGUGUGAAGAAGGUCUUCGGAUUGUAAAGCACUUUAAGUUGGGAGGAAGGGCAGUAAGUUAAUACCUUGCUGUUUUGACGUUACCAACAGAAUAAGCACCGGCUAACUUCGUGCCAGCCG
rnacentral:rRNA from 1 species